rnacentral:rRNA from 1 species
AACGAACGCUGGCGGCAUGCCUAACACAUGCAAGUCGAACGAGACCUUCGGGUCUAGUGGCGCACGGGUGCGUAACGCGUGGGAACCUGCCCUUAGGUUCGGAAUAACUCUCCGAAAGGGGUGCUAAUACCGGAUAAUGUAUUCGGACAAAAGAUUUAUCGCCUUUGGAUGGGCCCGCGUUGGAUUAGCUAGUUGGUAGGGUAAAAGCCUACCAAGGCGACGAUCCAUAGCUGGUCUGAGAGAAUGAUCAGCCACACUGGGACUGAGACACGGCCCAGACUCCUACGGGAGGCAGCAGUGGGGAAUAUUGGACAAUGGGCGAAAUCCUGAUCCAGCUAUGCCGCGUGAGUGAUGAAGGCCUUAGGGUUGUAAAGCUCUUUUACCCGGGAUGAUAAUGACGGUACCGAAAGAAUAAGCUCCGGCUAACUCCGUG